GGUUUGUGUAUUUAGAGAGUCCUUUACAAAAGCGUAUUGUUCGUGUUCAAUUAAGUACGUACCAAGGCAGCUGUCAAGAUGUCUCCACGAGGAUAUGUUUAUACAUUAAUCACUCUGACAUAUCACCUUCAGCUGAUGCCUGUUCAUACCUGUGUCUUUGAUCGUGGAACGAAAUCAACUACCUGCUACUAGCAUUACGUGGCAGAUGUCGUCAACUUGGAUUUCUGUUGGCAAAUCUGAGAAGCCAAAAUAGCUAUGGAUCUGACGAACAGAAAUAGAAAACCACAACACUGCCAAGGACACCAAGGCCGACAGUUUGCAGACAAGUGAUAGUGAUGGUGCACUGUGUCGUUGUCCGAUGGUUAUGUUGACCGUGGUCUGGCUGUGCCUGUGAGACCGGGAUGAAUCGAGGACUGCCAGCUUCUGAUACUGCCGGCGCAGUUCUUGGAGUGAACUCAAGUUCUGUGUGUGGCGAUGGCAAACGGAACGGAUCUUGUGCAACUACCUCUCCACUGACGUCCAAUACGUCAAGUCCAGACUCCUCCGGUGCUGACAUAAGAGGAAUAUUUCUAACCGCCGUCGGUGUUGUGGUGCUACUCAUCCUACUUCUAGCGGCAAAACACUUCUGUGGGAAGCGGGCCUUGAU